GCACAGUGAGAGUGUGGGCAGCCUGGCAGCUCUGUCUAUUGCCAGGGAUCGCAGUGCCAGCGCUAUACUGGGCAUUCAGGAGAUCCUAGGGAAUGCGUAAUCCUCCCCCGGCUGCGUUUUUUGGGCAUGUUGCCUUUAUACCAGCCCUGCACAGGAAUGUGUAAUCGGAGCUACCAGCCUCUGGAGCUGCAAGCAGCAAGCUAGGAAGACCAAGCUAAAAUGGCAGCUGUAAUCUUCAAUAAAUGGAGGGAGCUUCUAGGGCUCUUUACUCAGGUACCUGUUGACACUAAACAUACGCUAUGGAUUGGAUCAAUGCAGGAGACAAUAUGGAAACAUCUACUUUGGGCAGGCUAUUUAUCCUACUCAGGGCUGAUCCUCCCCUGAACUGCCAGUCACUGCUCCUUCUCCACCCCUGACCCAACCUGGAAGGGGGGCACCAGUGCAUCCUGCCUUGGACGCAAUCAGCCAAAGGUACCUGUUGACACUAAACAUACGCUAUGGAUUGGAUCAAUGCAGGAGACAAUAUGGAAACAUCUACUUGGGGCAGGCUAUUUAUCCUACUUGGGGCUGAUCCUCCCCUGAACUGCCAGUCACUGCUCCUUCUCCACCCCUGACCCAACCUGGAAGGGGGGCACCAGUGCAUCCUGCCAUGGACGCAAUCAGCCAAAGGUCUGAACUGAUCCUACUGCAUUCCUAGCCCAUCCCUUACACUAAGCAGAUGGGCAGCUUUCAUUGCAAAUUAAAGUAUGCACGUGACAUGCUCAAGGUUCUUAUUCAGGGUGGUCUCUCCCGUCUUCCCCUUCACAAAUGAGGUCGAAUUCCAAUACACAAUCAAUCUCUUUCUAUACCUAAUUUGUGCCCCAGAGUGGGCAAUUUGAGGAGAUACAACAAGUGUCUCUAAAGCAUAUAAAAAGCUAGUGGGUAUAAUUUCAGGAUGGGCAUGAAGGUUAUUCUGCAGUGUUGGAUUUUUAAUACCACUGGUUAAAAGAGAUACUACUACAUGCUCAUCUUGUGGGUUUGCCAUAAUCCACUCUGCAACUGGUCUCUAGAUUUUUUUUUACUAUGUAGAACAAAAACAUGAGGCAUUGGCCUCUCAAUAACACAUUUCAGGUUUAAGAAUUCUUUAUGUACAGUAUCUAAGAUAUUAGGGGGUGUUAGAGGGUAACCUGGAUGUUGGUGGAACAGCAAAUUCUAUAUAAAAAUAUGGUGUGGUCCCCCCGAGCGGACUUUAUUCACCUAAUCUGGAGCUGCCCCCCCAUAGCGCAGUUCUGGACUGCUGUGAUGGACACUAUCUCAACAGUGCUA